AGGCGCGGCGGGAGCGGCGCGCGCUCGGGAAUGGAACGCGAGUCGGGACAGCGGCGGCACCGCCCCGAGCAGCGAGCUCUGCCUCCCACCCACGGGUGUCACUUCGAGUAGCAGGACACGAGAUGAAGCUCCUUCAGAACCAAGACUGCUCUAUUAUAAGAACCUUCUGUGAUGCAAUGGAAGAACUUCCAAGGCUUUUCCAUUCAUAUUACCAUUGAUCUCUCGAGAGUGAACUUUCUGGUGCUAUUGGAGGAUGGCAGCUGUUGGAACCAGACGGCAAACAAGGCAGUUCUUCCCAGAAGAGAGCAAUUAUACAUCUCUGCACAGCUGGUCAAACACCACACCUCUGCACCAGCAAUGUGGAGCACAGGGCACUGACCUUGCAUUACUGGGCAAUAAACAGAGCUCAGGAAGUA